rnacentral:lncRNA from 1 species
GACUGGUUGGACUCAGAGCAAAAGGAUGCUGCAGUCAAAACACAAGUUAUGAGCAGAAACAAAAGCAAUGGGUAUAAUUAAUAUUAUAAUGUCCACUGUAAAGCUGAUUGCAUUCAACAUUUUACCAUGUAGAGAGAAUAAAUAUAUCAAUAAGAAACCAGAUUCUUAAUGGUCAAUAAUUGAAUAUUAAUCUAAAUCUUAAACCUUGCUACAGACGUAUUUGAUCUUUCAAUAGUUUUAUUCUACAUGAAUAGUUUUAUUUUACCCUAUUCAUCUUAUCCCUUAAACUUUCAUCUGCUAGAGUACAUAAUUCUCUUGUACAUUGUAGUAGAAAGACAUUAAUUUAACAAGAUGCAAAAUAGCCAUUAAAAGCUUUGGAAAUAUUUUACAAAUCAAUUUUCAAUUAUGUAUAUUUUAAACUUUAUAUUUUUACUCCCUAUUAUGUGAUGGACAACGUAUCAAGAGCACUACAUGGCCUAUAACUUCCUUUUAGUAGCAACUGUUUUAGGUAGAUUAUAUUAUAUUAAUUUCACAGAUGAAAAAAGUUAGAUUCAAAGAUGUUGAAAAUAUUGCCAAAGAUUUCAUAGAUAAAUUUGUACAAGAUAAAUUCAUAUAUAAAUCCAUAGCUUUGUCUGCCUGUGUAUGUUAUAUUCUGUUUGAUGGAAAUAAAAUUAGAUUUAAAUAGUUAUAUAUUUAUAUAAAGAAUAUAUAAAAAAUAUUAGGUCGGGCACGGUGGCUCACGCCUGUAAUCCAAGCACUUUGGGAGGCUGAGGCGGGCGGAUCACAAGGUCAGGAGAUCAAGACCAUCCUGGCUAACACAGUGAAACCCCGUCUCUACUAAAAAUACAAAAAUUAGCCGGGCGUGGUGGCGGGCGCCUCUAGUCCCAGCUGCUGGGGAGGCUGAGGCAGGAGAAUGGUGUGAACCAGGGAGGC